rnacentral:rRNA from 1 species
CCUACGUGGCGCAGCAGUGGGGAAUAUUGCGCAAUGGGCGAAAGCCUGACGCAGCGACGCCGCGUGAGGGAUGAAGGUCUUCGGAUCGUAAACCUCUGUCAGCAGGGAAGAACGGUCACUGUGCUAAUCAGCAGUGAAUUGACGGUACCUGCAAAGGAAGCACCGGCUAACUCCGUGCCAGCAGCCGCGGUAAUACGGAGGGUGCGAGCGUUAAUCGGAAUUACUGGGCGUAAAGCGCUCGUAGGCGGUAUGUCAAGUCAAGGGUGAAAUCCCCGCGCUCAACGUGGGAACUGCCUUUGAAACUGGCAAACUGGAGUGUGUGAGAGGAUAGUGGAAUUCCAGGUGUAGGAGUGAAAUCCGUAGAUAUCUGGAGGAACAUCAGUGGCGAAGGCGACUAUCUGGCACAUAACUGACGCUGAGGAGCGAAAGCGUGGGUAGCAAACAGGAUUAGAUACCCCGGUAGUC